UUGAAAAUCAUAAUAUAUUUUAUUUUUUUAAAAUGUUUUUAUUGAUUUGAGAGAGAAAGAAACAUUGAUCAAUCAGUUGCCUUCCUUAUGCACCCCUACCGGGGACAGAACCUAAAAUCUGGGCAUGUGCCCUGGGAAUGGAACCAGCAACUUUUGGUGCAUGGGACGACGUUCAACCAACUGAACCACACAGGCCAGGGCUACAAAUCACAGUGUUUUAAAGCACAGAAGUCCAAAUCUGAGGCUCUUUAUGAACAUGGAGCCUGGAUCUCUUGCCACUCCACCCUCCCACCCCAAUCCCUCCCAGGGCUCCCCUCCAAGGCCCUGAUGCAGAGAAGACAGAACUCCCUCUCAUUAUGGCUUUGAUCAAUGCCAGACUGUUCACUGCUUUCAUUCAACCACAGAGGGAUCUCCCUUAGACUUCAAAUUGAGCCUGGAGCUUUGAUCUGCCCCAAGGGACUACACCCAGAUGCAAGACUCUGUCCGUGUCUGAAGCAAGUCUUCUGGGUCGUGAGAGCCUUUACUGCCAUCUCAUCCAAUAAACCAUGCUUCUU